rnacentral:tRNA from 1 species
GAACCGGUCGCUCAGAUGGCAGAGCGGCUGAUUGAAGCUCAGCAGGCGCAGGUUCGAUUCCUGCCCGGUUCACCA